rnacentral:rRNA from 1 species
UGCCAGACUCCUACGGGAGGCAGCAGUAGGGAAUUUUGCGCAAUGGGCGAAAGCCUGACGCAGCAACGCCGCGUGAUUGAUUAAGCCCUUCGGGGUGUAAAGAUCUGUCAGUGGGGACGAAACUUGACUGUACCCACAGAGGAAGCACCGGCUAACUCCGUGCCAGCAGCCGCGGUAAUACGUAGGGGGCGAGCGUUAUCCGGAUUCACUGGGUGUAAAGGGAGCGUAGACGGCCGUGCAAGCCAGGAGUGAAAGCCCGGGGCCCAACCCCGGGACUGCUCUUGGAACUGUGCGGCUGGAGUGCGGGAGGGGCAGGCGGAAUUCCUGGUGUAGCGGUGAAAUGCGUAGAUAUCAGGAGGAACACCGGCGGCGAAGGCGGCCUGCUGGACCGCGACUGACGUUGAGGCUCGAAAGCGUGGGGAGCGAACAGGAUUAGAUACCCCCGUA